AGCAAGCCCUCGCGUAAAGGCGGGGGCUUUUAAAGGCCCCUCUCGCUUACCGGAAGACGCUCACGCGUCAACGAUUUCUGAGCCAUGACGCCUUCAGAUGCCUCGCCAGUCGGCAGCUUUGCC
rnacentral:sRNA from 17 species